rnacentral:rRNA from 1 species
AACGAACGCUGGCGGCAUGCCUAACACAUGCAAGUCGAACGAGACCUUCGGGUCUAGUGGCGCACGGGUGCGUAACGCGUGGGAACCUUCCCUUAGGUUCGGAAUAACUCCCCGAAAGGGGUGCUAAUACCGGAUAAUGUCUUCGGACCAAAGAUUUAUCGCCUUUGGAUGGGCCCGCUUUGGAUUUGCUAGUUGGUAGGGUAAAAGACUACCAAGGCGAAGAUCCAUAGCUGGUCUGAGAGGAUGAUCAGCCACACUGGGACUGAGACACGGCCCAGACUCCUACGGGAGGCAGCAGUGGGGAAUAUUGGACACUGGGCGAAAGCCUGAUCCAGCAAUGCCGCGUGAGUGAUGAAGGACUUAGGGUUGUAAAGCUCUUUUAACCGGGAUGAUAAUGACAGUACCGGGAGAAUAAGCUCCGGCUAACUCCGUG